UACGGGGGGGGCAAGCGUUGUUCGGAAUUACUGGGCGUAAAGGGCUCGUAGGCGGCCAACUAAGUCAGACGUGAAAUCCCCAGGCUUAACCUGGGAACUGCGUCUGAUACUGGAUGGCUUGAAUUCGGGAGAGGGAUGCAGAAUUCCAGGUGUAGCGGUGAAAUGCGUAGAUAUCUGGAGGAAUACCGGUGGCGAAGGCGGCAUCCUGGACCGAGACUGACGCUGAGGCGCGAAAGCGUGGGGAGCAAACAGG
rnacentral:rRNA from 1 species